rnacentral:rRNA from 1 species
GUCCACGCCGUAACGAUGUCAACUAGCCGUUGGGUUCCUUGAGGACUUAGUGGCGCAGCUAACGCAUUAAGUUGACCGCCUGGGGAGUACGGCCGCAAGGUUAAACUCAAAUGAAUUGACGGGGCCCGCACAAGCGGUGGAGCAUGUGGUUUAAUUCGAAGCAACGCGAAGAACCUUACCAGGCCUUGACAUCUACAGAACUUUCCAGAGAUGGAUGGGUGCCUUCGGGAACUGUAAGACAGGUGCUGCAUGGCUGUCGU